rnacentral:miRNA from 1 species
CUCCCUCGCGGUUCCCAUAAUUCCCAGCAUCUACACAUCAUAGAGUAGGGAUUACUGUAUGAUGUGUAGAUGCUGGGAAUUAUGGGAACCGCGAGGGAG